AUGCAUGAGUUAACUAAGGAAAACAUUGAGCGUAUGAAUGUUAAAUAUAAAAUUGCUGGAGAUAAGGGUAGAAAACAUAUUGUGUUUGCACCUGGAGAUCUUGUUUGGUUACAUUUGCGUAAGGAUAGAUUUCCUGAUUUGCGAAAAUCAAAGCUAAUGCCACGUGUUGAUGGUCCUUUUAAGGUGUUAGAGAAAAUAAAUGAUAAUGCAUACAAACUUGAGCUGCCUACAGAUUUUGGGGUUAGUCCCACUUUUAACAUUGCAGAUUUGAAGCCUUAUUUGGGUGAGGAAGAUGAGCUCCCGUCGAGGACGACUUCAUUUCAAGAAGGAGAGGAUGAUGAGGACAUCAAUACCAUUGUUACACCCACAACCCCUGCUACUAUACAUACUAGACCAAUUACUAGAGCUCGCGCAUGCCAAUUAAAUUACCAGGUACUUUUGUUUUCUUGA
rnacentral:rRNA from 1 species